rnacentral:rRNA from 1 species
AGUGAACGCUGGCGGUAUGCCUAACACAUGCAAGUCGAACGGCAGCACAGUGAGCUCUUGCUCUUACCGUUGGCGAGUGGCGGACGGGUGACGCAUACAUCACCUUCUACUUUUUCGUGGAGAAUUACGUAGAGCCACUUCCGCUACUACCUCAUACGACCUACGGCUGGGAGCAGUGGUUCUUCGCGCCUUUCCCGUUUCUAUUAGCCGAUGUCGGAUUAGCUAGUUGGCUGGGUAAAGGCUCACCAAGGCAACGAUGCGUAGCUGGUCUGAGAGGAUGAUCGGCCACACUGGAACUGAGACACGGUCCAGACUCCUACGGGAGGCAGCAGUGGGGAAUAUUGGGCAAUGGGCGAAAGCCUGAUGGAGCAAUACCGCGUGAGUGAAGAAGGUCUUCGGGUCGUAAAGCUCUGUUGUUAGGAAAGAAAAGAAGUGGAAGAAUACAUGGACGUUUUGACGGUACCUAAACAAUAAGCAACGGCUAACUACGUG